rnacentral:lncRNA from 1 species
AUAUUGCGCAUCUCCUAGUUGGCGAUGGAUGGCGAAGGUCUUGCCUCGACUGUGGCUCUGAUAUUGGAUCUGAUCUGAAACAGUAAAGAUAAGGAAGUCCACCCACCGGAGCAUGUCCGGCGAGGGAUCCUUCUAUCUCUAAGUCUAGCACGACUCUUAGGAAACAGAAGGAGGCUAGAGCGGUAGCCUAGGAAGUCAAAAAGAAACUUAUCUAGAGGGCCAUCAAGGAUGUAAUAUAUAUAAGCGAGGGUUGGAGCUUGUAGCCAAGCAAUCCAAGCUU